rnacentral:snRNA from 1 species
AUAUUUACCUGGCAGGGGACAUACCAUGGUCACAAAGAUGGUUUUCCAGGGUGAAGCUUAUCCAUUGCACUCUGGAUGUGCUGACCCCUGAGAAUUCCUCAAAUGUGGGAAACUUGACUAUGUAAUUUGUGGUAGUGGGGGACAGCAUUUGUGCUUUCUCCUA